rnacentral:rRNA from 1 species
AUUGAACGCUGGCGGCAGGCCUAACACAUGCAAGUCGAACGAGUGGCGGACGGGUGAGUAAUGUCUGGGAAACUGCCUGAUGGAGGGGGAUAACUACUGGAAACGGUAGCUAAUACCGCAUACCAUCAGAUGUGCCCAGAUGGGAUUAGCUAGGUGGUGGGGUAACGGGUCACCAAGGCGACGAUCCCUAGCUGGUCUGAGAGGAGGACCAGCCACACUGGAACGGAGCCACGGUCCAUGCUCCUACGGUAGGCAGCAGUGGGGAAUAUUGCACAGUGGGCGCAAGCCUGAUGCAGCCGUGCCGCGUGUAUGAAGAAGGCCUUCGGGUUGUAAAGUACUUUCAGCGGGGAGGCGGUACCCGCAGAAGAAGCACCGGCUAACUCCGUGCCAGCAGCCGCGGUAAUAC